AACUACUCCGGUGGCCUAGUGGUUAGAGAAUCAACCUCGGAUGCGGGAGGUCGUGGGUUCAAUCCCCGGUCGAGUCA